rnacentral:rRNA from 1 species
AGAGUUUGAUCCUGGCUCAGGAUGAACGCUGGCGGCGUGCUUAACACAUGCAAGUCGAACGAAGAGGGUUAGAAUGAGAGCUUCGGCAGGAUUUCUUUCCAUCUUAGUGGCGGACGGGUGAGUAACGUGUGGGCAACCUGCCCUGUACUGUGGAAUAAUCAUUGGAAACGAUGACUAAUACCGCAUGUGGUCCUCGGAAGGCAUCUUCUGAGGAAGAAAGGAUUUAUUCGGUACAGGAUGGGCCCGCAUCUGAUUAGCUAGUUGGUGAGAUAACAGCCCACCAAGGCGACGAUCAGUAGCCGACCUGAGAGGGUGAUCGGCCACAUUGGGACUGAGACACGGCCCAAACUCCUACGGGAGGCAGCAGUGGGGAAUAUUGCACAAUGGGCGAAAGCCUGAUGCAGCAACGCCGCGUGAAGGAUGAAGGGUUUCGGCUCGUAAACUUCUAUCAAUAGGGAAGAAACAAAUGACGGUACCUAAAUAAGAAGCCCCGGCUAACUACGUGCCAGCAGCCGCGGUAAUACGUAGGGGGCAAGCGUUAUCCGGAAUUACUGGGUGUAAAGGGAGCGUAGGCGGCAUGGUAAGCCAGAUGUGAAAGCCUUGGGCUUAACCCGAGGAUUGCAUUUGGAACUAUCAAGCUAGAGUACAGGAGAGGAAAGCGGAAUUCCUAGUGUAGCGGUGAAAUGCGUAGAUAUUAGGAAGAACACCAGUGGCGAAGGCGGCUUUCUGGACUGAAACUGACGCUGAGGCUCGAAAGCGUGGGGAGCAAACAGGAUUAGAUACCCUGGUAGUCCACGCC